rnacentral:rRNA from 1 species
GAUGAACGCUAGCUACAGGCUUAACACAUGCAAGUCGAGGGGUAACAAGAGGAAAGCUUGCUCUUCUUGUUGACGGCCGGCGCACGGGUGAGUAACGCGUAUCCAACCUGCCUAUAACUAGGGAAUAACCUUGCGAAAGUAAGACUAAUACCCUAUGAUUUCCUUUGAUGACAUCAGAUUAGGAAUAAAGAUUUAUCGGUUAUAGAUGGGGAUGCGUCUGAUUAGCUUGUUGGCGGGGUAACGGCCCACCAAGGCAACGAUCAGUAGGGGUUCUGAGAGGAAGGUCCCCCACAUUGGAACUGAGACACGGUCCAAACUCCUACGGGAGGCAGCAGUGAGGAAUAUUGGUCAAUGGGCGGAAGCCUGAACCAGCCAAGUAGCGUGCAGGAUGACGGCCCUAUGGGUUGUAAACUGCUUUUAUACAGGAAUAAAGUUAGCCACGUGUGGUUAUUUGUAGGUACUGUAUGAAUAAGGACCGGCUAAUUCCGUGCCAGCCGCCGCCGUAA